rnacentral:sRNA from 1 species
UAUUCAUCCCAUGCGGGAAGGAUGAGAAGCUUCGACUAAGGUUCGAUUCGAGCGAAGCGAGAAAGCGUUGCCGCAGGCAACGACCCGAAGGGCGAGGCGCAACGCGCCGAGUAAUCCUUCCCCC